GCCGGGCGUGGUGGCGGGCGCCUGUAAUCCCAGCUACUCAGGAGGCUGAGGCAGGAGAAUUGUUUGAACCCGGGAGAUGGAGGCUGCAGUGAGCCGAGAUGGCACCACUGCACUCCAGCCUGGGCAACAGAGUGAGACUCUGUCUCAG
rnacentral:sRNA from 1 species